GUUCAACUGGCUGGGACACUAGACACUACAUAGAUCUAGAGGUAGGUUCAACUGGCUGGGACACUAGACACUACAUAGAUCUAGAGGUAGGUUCACCUGGCUGGGACACUAGACACUACAUAGAUCUAGAGGUAGGUUCAACUGGCUGGGACACUAGACACUACAUAGAUCUAGAGGUAGGUUCACCUGGCUGGGACACUAGACACUACAUAGAUCUAGAGGUAGGUUCAACUGGCUGGGACACUAGACACUACAUAGAUCUAGAGGUAGGUUCACCUGGCUGGGACACUAGACACUACAUAGAUCUAGAGGUAGGUUCAACUGGCUGGGACACUAGACACUACAUAGAUCUAGAGGUAGGUUCACCUGGCUGGGACACUAGACACUACAUAGAUCUAGAGGUAGGUUCAACUGGCUGGGACACUAGACACUACAUAGAUCUAGAGGUAGGUUCACCUGGCUGGGACACUAGACACUACAUAGAUCUAGAGGUAGGUUCA